rnacentral:rRNA from 1 species
CACGUAGGGGGCAAGCGUUGUCCGGAUUUAUUGGGCGUAAAGAGCUCGUAGGCGGUUCGGUAAGUCGGGUGUGAAACCUCCAGGCUCAACCUGGAGACGCCACCCGAUACUGCUGUGACUUGAGUCCGGUAGGGGAGCGUGGAAUUCCUGGUGUAGCGGUGAAAUGCGCAGAUAUCAGGAGGAACACCAGCGGCGAAGGCGGCGCUCUGGGCCGGAACUGACGCUGAGGAGCGAAAGCGUGGGUAGCAAGCAGG